rnacentral:rRNA from 1 species
UUGGUGACCAGCGGAGGGAUCAUUACCGAGUUUACAACUCCCAAACCCAAUGUGAACGUUACCAAACUGUUGCCUCGGCGGGAUCUCUGCCCCGGGUGCGUCGCAGCCCCGGACCAAGGCGCCCGCCGGAGGACCAACCAAAACUCUUUUUGUAUACCCCCUCGCGGGUUUUUUUAUAAUCUGAGCCUUCUCGGCGCCUCUCGUAGGCGUUUCGAAAAUGAAUCAAAACUUUCAACAACGGAUCUCUUGGUUCUGGCAUCGAUGAAGAACGCAGCGAAAUGCGAUAAGUAAUGUGAAUUGCAGAAUUCAGUGAAUCAUCGAAUCUUUGAACGCACAUUGCGCCCGCCAGUAUUCUGGCGGGCAUGCCUGUCCGAGCGUCAUUUCAACCCUCGAACCCCUCCGGGGGGUCGGCGUUGGGGAUCGGCCCUCCCUUAGCGGGUGGCCGUCUCCGAAAUACAGUGGCGGUCUCGCCGCAGCCUCUCCUGCGCAGUAGUUUGCACACUCGCAUCGGGAGCGCGGCGCGUCCACAGCCGUUAAACACCCAACUUCUGAAAUGUUGACCUCGGAUCAGGUAGGAAUACCCGCUGAACUUAAGCAUAUCAAUAG